UACGUAGGUGGCAAGCGUUAUCCGGAAUUAUUGGGCGUAAAGAGCGCGCAGGUGGUUGAUUAAGUCUGAUGUGAAAGCCCACGGCUUAACCGUGGAGGGUCAUUGGAAACUGGUCGACUUGAGUGCAGAAGAGGGAAGUGGAAUUCCAUGUGUAGCGGUGAAAUGCGUAGAGAUAUGGAGGAACACCAGUGGCGAAGGCGGCUUCCUGGUCUGCAACUGACACUGAGGCGCGAAAGCGUGGGGAGCAAACAGGAUUAGA
rnacentral:rRNA from 1 species